rnacentral:rRNA from 1 species
UACAGAGGUGGCAAGCGUUGUUCGGAAUUACUGGGCGUAAAGGGCGCGUAGGCGGCCUACUAAGUCAGACGUGAAAUCCCUCAGCUUAACUGGGGAACUGCGUCUGAUACUGGGUGGCUUGAGUGCAGGAGAGGAAUGCGGAAUUCCAGGUGUAGCGGUGAAAUGCGUAGAGAUCAGGCGGAACACCCGUGGCGAAGGCGGCCAGCUGGGCCGUCCCUGACGCUGAGGAGCGAAAGCGUGGGGAGCAAACAGG